rfam:Paenibacillus sp. Y412MC10, complete genome.
CAUUUUAAGGAGCCGAAUUCCCAUGAUUGGGAAGCGGGGGAUCCGUUUUGGGUGAAUUGAUCUCGCAAGAGAGGGAUCAUAGGGGACCUUCAACCGAACCCUUAAGCUAACCUCGCAGGCAAUGGAAGGAGCUUUU